CCUACGGGAGGCAGCAGUGAGGAAUAUUGGUCAAUGGGCGGGAGCCUGAACCAGCCAAGCCGCGUGAGGGAAGAAGGUACAGCGUAUCGUAAACCUCUUUUGUCAGGGAACAAAGGCGGGGACUAGUCCCCGGAUGAGGGUACCUGAAGAAAAAGCAUCGGCUAACUCCGUGCCAGCAGCCGCGGUAAUACGGAGGAUGCGAGCGUUAUCCGGAAUUAUUGGGUGUAAAGGGUGCGUAGACGGAAGAACAAGUUGGUUGUGAAAUCCCUCGGCUCAACUGAGGAACUGCAACCAAAACUAUUCUCCUUGAGUGUCGGAGAGGAAAGUGGAAUUCCUAGUGUAGCGGUGAAAUGCGUAGAUAUUAGGAGGAACACCAGUGGCGAAGGCGACUUUCUGGACGAUAACUGACGUUGAGGCACGAAAGUGUGGGGAGCAAACAGGAUUAGAUACCCCAGUAGUC
rnacentral:rRNA from 1 species